AACCCCUACAACUUUACCGGGACCUACGUCAUCAUCCCAACAAAUUGUCAUUCGCUUGACGGCGAGGAUUUCCUCUGUGGUGGCUCUGACUGAGGAAUACAUCAGGAGUACGGUCGUACAGCAGAUUAAAAACAAACUGGUGAUUUACGGAUUGCCAUCCAGCGCCAAUCUGACGUUACUGGGGAAGGUGUAACUGGAAAUUACAGCCACUGGUGACCCCUGCUGCUUCAGUGUGGUUACUUAUCCACUCGUGCACGAAAUUUGUUACCAUGGAAACCGUAGUCAACGGGAGUCAUUAAUUUGUUACACUUUUCUCAGGUGUCUGAGUUUUUAAUUGUAUAACCGUGCAAGCUUGUACCCUGUAAAUUAAAAGAUUGAACAACUAACAACUGUGGAUUGAUUUUGCUGCUGUUGCCUUUUUAAAUAAACCUUGUUGACUUAUA